AAUCCAUAGGUUAAUGAGGCGAACCGGGGGAACUGAAACAUCUAAGUACCCCGAGGAAAAGAAAUCAACCGAGAUUCCCCCAGUAGCGGCGAGCGAACGGGGAGGAGCCCAGAGCCUGAAUCAGCAUGUGUGUUAGUGGAAGCGUCUGGAAAGGCGCGCGAUACAGGGUGACAGCCCCGUACACAAAAGCGCAUGUGCUGUGAGCUCGAUGAGUAGGGCGGGACACGUGGUAUCCUGUCUGAAUAUGGGGGGACCAUCCUCCAAGGCUAAAUACUCCUGACUGACCGAUAGUGAACCAGUACCGUGAGGGAAAGGCGAAAAGAACCCCGGCGAGGGGAGUGAAAAAGAACCUGAAACCGUGUACGUACAAGCAGUGGGAGCCCCACCACCAAAGCAUUUGCUGUACCGCGUUGAC
rnacentral:rRNA from 2 species